UUCGUGCAAGGUUAGUUGGAAAUCGUUGGUUUGGGGUUUCGAAUCUGGGAUCUUGGGUUGUUUUUAAAGUUUAUUCGGAUUUGUGGGUUAUUCAUCGUGAGGUUUUUCUCGUGGUUUUCCGAUCUGUCCGGUUGAACUCAAUAUCGAGUUUGGAGUUGUUCGUUGUGAGGUUCUCCGAUCGAGUAUUUUGGUCUUCGAAUUUCUUUAUUAUCGACAAGGAUUAAUUUCAUCGAGGUCCAUUUCUUCUAACCGAAUCUUUAAUUUAUUUUGACUUUUAUUGAAUGUUGUGGGUGUGGAUGAUUUAUUUGUUGUGUGUUUGGUUUGAAUCUUCGUUGUUUGUGUUGUGUUUGAUGUGGGUUUCGGAUUAUGAGAUGUGAUUGGAAAAUCGAAGCAUGCACUAAUCAUGUGGUUUAAAGGGAAUUCGGGGCGC
rnacentral:lncRNA from 1 species